UGUCUGCUUGUGCAGCAACGUCCACCCGUACACGCCUCUUCAUUUGUGCGUCAAGGUUGAUCUUGCCUUGRGCAYCAGUUGGGGUUCCUGUGCUGCAUACCUACUKGAUGGAAUUUUGUCGUUCUAUSGAUGUCCCUUUUCAUCGUGCGUCGCUCGCGCGGCGUGGGGUGAACCUAGAAGCGGUCUCUGUGAUCCAUCCCGUCGAUGCGAAUGCGUCGGCUGCAUGGCCCAUUGAGCACCGCUUGGUCUCUCGGAUACAGAACCUUAUGYGGGUACGGGGCCCUUGCGGCCUAGUGUUUUACCCUCRUCAAGCGUUCUGGCUUCUUCAAAACGACCGUUGAUCGCGCGUCGGCCUGUCCGUGCGGGAUCGACGACGUCGAAGAGGAAUGC
rnacentral:misc_RNA from 1 species